UAGCUGUUUGGCUGAUGGGAAAGCAGGUGCUUUGAAAGCAUUAUAUAUAGGUUCGAAUCCUCUAAUAGUUU
rnacentral:tRNA from 1 species